CACAAACAGGGAGAGAGUGCCCUGUGUGCCAGGCCCCGCCCGGCCUGGAGGUCAAGGGGAAUGCUGCUGGGGAGUUCGCAAGCCAGGGGCCUUACAUGGUUUCACAAACCUCCGAAAUGGAUGCACACCAUGCAGCCAACCAGAGCCGGGGAUGCUUCCUGCAAUGAUUUAAGCUAAUUGCAUUAGAUUCACCCUGAGACGCGAGUGAAACCGGCCCAACAGUGUCAGAGGCGCAAACUCCCGCAGUGUUACAAAGCCAACUGUCCGAGGACAGAAGGAUUUGGGAAAAUACGGAACAGAAGGAAAGGAUGAGAAUGUGGCAGAGGAAGGGCGACAAUCUCGUCUGCGGAGCAGUUUCCAUCCUGUCCAGCUGCAACUUUUGAUGAACCUCUGACAGGCCGGCGAGCAGGCAGUGAGCACUCAGGAGGUGGCCAGCUCGCUCAAGGCCAAGGCAGAGGAGAGGCAGCUCGUGAAGCUUCUGGGGCUCCAGGACUUCACCGCCAGCACCAGCACCAUCGCUGUCACUGCUCACUCUCCCCGACCUCACCCUCAUCAGGUCGUUACCACGUUACCCUGAGGCGCUUGGUACACUCGUGGGUUUGGCUGCUGCGCUGGGCGUGCCUGACCUCCCAUGAGUGAUUCUGUGGCUUUGUCUGUGAAAUGAGACGGCGGCAGGGCUCCCCCAGAGGGCUGCCAUCUUAAACGGGCACUCGCAUCUGCAGAGGGCUCCGCAGAGGCCAGCUCCCCCGACUCCGCUGGUUAAAAUCACUUUCCUUCCGUAAACUGUGGGCUCCGAGCACAUGCCUCCUCCCCACUGAAACCUCCUAGAUGGAGUCCAGAAUUCAGACUGAUCGCUCUCCCCUUGCACCCCUCAGCCAAGAGUCAGGGUCCCCGGUGGGCGCCCCCUUCCUGAGGUUGACAUCCUCGGUGAUCUCACUUCACCUCCCCUGCAAGGCUGCACUGUGGGUGGGGAACCCCCGCCCUACUUUCUCCUAGCUCACGCACUGCCGAGUCUCCGUGCCUCAGUCUCCACCUCUGGAAGACAGGGGUAUUCACAGCACUGUGCUCACGGAGGUGGCAUGAGACCUAAAUAAAAUGCUACACGUAGCUGUGGCUGGUGUGGCUCAGUAGACUGAGUGCUGGGCCUGCAAACCAAAGGGCCACCGGUUCAAUUCCCAGUCAGGGCACAGGCCAGGGCUGCAAGCCAGGCCCCCAGUAGGGGGUGUGUGAGAGGCAACCACACACUGAUGUUUCUCUCACUCUUUUUCUCCUCCCUUCUAAC